rnacentral:lncRNA from 1 species
GUGGAUUAAAUUUGGUCCUUCUUUGGAAAUCUUACCUAAGGAAGUAGGAGAAUUAUAUACUCCGUGGUGUGAGAAUAGCUCUUUAAUAUCAAAAAUAGCUUCCAAUAAACUUAUUACAGGACAAUGUCCCUGUUUAUUCUUCAUUAAAUUUCAAAUUCCAUGGAUAUGGAGAUGGACAGUAACUAUAUCCAAAGAUAAAUUUAAUAUCC